rnacentral:rRNA from 1 species
AAGUUCUGCCCUAUGAUUAUUUAAAUGGCUGCAGUAUCUUGACUGUGCAAAGGUAGCAUAAUAAUUAGUCAAUUAAUUGUUGACUUGUAUGAAUGAAUACAUGAGAAGUUAAUUUUAUUAAUAUUAAUUUUUAAAUUUUAUUUUUAAGUAAAAAAGCUUUAAUUAUAUUUUUGGGACGAAAAGACCCUAUAGAACUUUAUUAUAAUUUUAAUAUGUAUUUUUUUAAUAUUUGUUUAUUAAUUAUUAUAUUUUUGUUGGGGUGACAUUUAAAAUUUAACUUUAUUUUUUAAAUUCAUUAAUUUAUGAUUAUUAUGAUCCUUAGUUUAAGAUAAUAAGAUUAAGUUACCUUAGGGAUAACAGCGUAAUUUUAAUGGGGAGUUCAUAUUUAUAUUAAAGUUUGCGACCUCGAUGUUGAAUUAAGAUAAAUAUAGGGGGUAGGUUUUCUAUUUUUAAGUC